rnacentral:misc_RNA from 1 species
UUUAGUCUCUCUAUUUUAGUGAAACUAAUUAACUACACAUUAAUUGAUCCCCAUAAUUUAGUUCCGUUAACUCUAUAGUCCCUCGUGUUAUUUUUUUAUGCCCAAACUACCAUAUUCUGUCCCUCUUAUUUUUCUCUUGCUCUCAUUUAUUCCUCACUCCCCAUAUUUCUUGCCCUCUAUACCUACACCCUUUUUCCCCCUCAUUUUCUCUCUAUUUUUCAUCGUUUGAUAAAACUACCCAGAGAAUCAAAUGAAAAUACUUGAACAAUUUAAAACAAAUGCAAAUUCAAAUUUAGUCUCCGCAUGACAAAAUUUCUAUUUUCAUCCAGG